rnacentral:lncRNA from 1 species
CGGGUCACGCUUGACCCAGUAUUCGUACUCCGAAGGUUAAGGAUCGCUGUUGCAUAGUCAUUUUCGCCACUCAUUUCUGUCCAUCGUGUCAUCUUCGCCUAAACCUUUCUUUCUCAAGUUCUCUGUCACAGUCUCAGUACCACACAUGAUACUACGACAACCAAAGAUAAAGCCACUUCGAGAACAACUUUUAACCGAUGCGCGCAUGACGUCAGCGCCCGACAAACUUGUACGGAGACUUAUGGGAAAGCAAGACUUAUAGAAUGCAUUGUCAUAGAGACAACAUUUUAUACGGUUUUAUACAUUUUUGUGUUAUUAAAUAACUGAAAUUGCCGUUCGUCUGUUCUGUUACACUGUUUAAUUUAUACUUUGAUGAAUUGUUAUAAUCAUACCAGUAAAAUAAUACAAUAUAUUAUGUAGGUACUGUACUAAAAAACGUAAUAGUUUUUUCACUGCAAAAAUUUAAGAGGUUUCUUGACAUGCAGAAAACUUUAAAUAAACCGCGUCAAAUAAAAGAUGGUUUAUUAACAAAUAA